rnacentral:rRNA from 1 species
GACGAACGCUGGCGGCGUGCUUAACACAUGCAAGUCGAACGGUGAAGCGCCUUCCUUUUUGGUGGGUGUGGAUGAGUGGCGAACGGGUGAGUAACACGUGAGUAACCUGCCCCCUUCUUCUGGAUAACCGCAUGCAAGUGUUGCUAAUACGGGAUAUUCUGGGUCUGUCGCAUGAUGGGUCUGGGAAAGAUUUUGUUUCGGUGGGGGAUGGGCUCGCGGCCUAUCAGCUUGUUGGUGGGGUGAUGGCCUACCAAGGCGGUGACGGGUAGCCGGCCUGGGAGGCUGGACGGUCCCACAGGGGAUGCGACACGGCGAAUACUACUACGGGAGGCAGCAGUGGGUAAUAUUGCACAGUGGAAAGAAGGCUGAUGCAACGACGCCGGGUGAGGGAUGGAGUCCUGAGGGUUGAGAUCUUCUUUCGCGAGUGAAGCAGGGCUGCCUCAUUUGUGGGUGGGUUGACGGUAGCUGGACAAGAAGCGCCGGCUAACUACGUG